GACGAACGCUGGCGGCGUGCUUAACACAUGCAAGUCGAACGGAAAGGCCCUGCUUUUGUGGGGUGCUCGCGUGGCGAACGGGUGAGUAACACGUGAGUAACCUGCCCUUGACUUUGGGAUAACUUCAGGAAACUGGGGCUAAUACCGGCUAGGAGCUCCUGCUGCAUGGUGGGGGUUGGAAAGUUUCGGCGGUUGGGGAUGGACUCGCGGCUUAUCAGCUUGUUGGUGGGGUAGUGGCUUACCAAGGCUUUGACGGGUAGCCGGCCUGAGAGGGUGACCGGCCACAUUGGGACUGAGAUACGGCCCAGACUCCUACGGGAGGCAGCAGUGGGGAAUAUUGCACAAUGGGCGGAAGCCUGAUGCAGCAACGCCGCGUGCGGGAUGACGGCCUUCGGGUUGUAAACCGCUUUCGCCUGUGACGAAGCGUGAGUGACGGUAAUGGGUAAAGAAGCACCGGCUAACUACGUG
rnacentral:rRNA from 1 species